GGCGUGGAGGCCUCCGGGGCCUGGAGAGAGACGGCCGGGGUGCUGGAGGCUGGAUCGGGUGAGGGCAAGCCCAGGGCAAGCACUGCCUGUGAGUGGCUCCAAGAUGAGUAUGCCCAACGUUUGCCUCUAGCACCGAUCCCACGCUCUCCUGGAAACAAUAACCAAGAAAGGCUUCUUUGCUGUCCCCCGCGCGGUUUAAAAAAAAAAGUACCCUUUUCUCUCUCUACAGAAACUGAAGUACAGAAGCGGGAGUCCAUCCUUCCAUGCCCUCAUGGCUGUCAAGUGACCAAAAUUCGCGAGCCUUUUCUCGGCCCCGGGCCCGCCGUGUGCGCCCCAAACUGCUCCCUCAGCACCCUCCCUUGCAUACCCUGUCUUAGCCUCGGAUAACUUCUCAGUUUCCGUUCUAGCUGAAGGCGCCAGGCAUCCUGUCUCCAGGGGAAACCCCUGUCAAGCCUUUAACCCUGAUUCCUUAGGCUCUAGAAUUGCCUGGACUGAAGAACCAUGCAGAAACCACCCAGCAGGGGAAAAGAAGAAGGAAGAUUCAUAUUUUCAAAAGAAAAACUGCCCCAGGAGAAAGAGCAGUUGAGAUAUGUCUGGCAAGUUGAUCCAAGAAACAGUUGCCCAGCCUCUAAACCUGGCUAAGUCUUCACCAAACUAGGUACAAAGACAUGUCCACACUUCUAGCUAAAGGUAAAAAUCCUACCAUAAAAUUGA